rnacentral:rRNA from 1 species
CCUACGGGUGGCUGCAGUGAGGAAUAUUGGUCAAUGGACGACAGUCUGAACCAGCCAAGUAGCGUGAAGGAUGACUGCCCUAUGGGUUGUAAACUUCUUUUAUAUGGGACUAAAAUGUUCCACGUGUGGGAUUUUGUAUGUACCAUAUGAAUAAGGAUCGGCUAACUCCGUGCCAGCAGCCGCGGUAAUACGGAGGAUCCGAGCGUUCUCCGGAUUUAUUGGGUUUAAAGGGAGCGUAGGUGGAUUGUUAAGUCAGUUGUGAAAGUUUGCGGCUCAACCGUAAAAUUGCAGUUGAAACUGGCAGUCUUGAGUACAGUAGAGGUGGGCGGAAUUCGUGGUGUAGCGGUGAAAUGCUUAGAUAUCACGAAGAACUCCGAUUGCGAAGGCAGUUCACUGGACUGCAACUGACACUGAGGCUCGAAAGUGUGGGUAUCAAACAGGAUUAGAUACCCUUGUAGUC